GCUGUAUCAUCCAAGAGUUAGUUCAAACAACCUUUUAAUUAGUAGGAUUUAAACUUCAAAUAUUCAUUUUAUAGAAUAUUGACCAUAAUAGUAAAUUUGAAUUUCAGAAAGAUCUCCUGCUCCUCUUGGCCUCAAAAGCAGAUAUUUGAUAAGUGGACCUUUUAUAUUGGAUCAAGAGAAAGAAAUACUCCAACCGAUUUAUAGAAUGAAAGAUUUUUAUUUUUGAACUUCUGGACAUUACAUAAUUACUCAAGAAGCAAACCAUUACAAAAAGACAAAGAUGGCAAGAUCAGUCACAAUAAAUAGACAUGUACAUGA